rnacentral:rRNA from 1 species
GACGAACGCUGGCGGCGUGCUUAACACAUGCAAGUCGAACGAAGUGGCGAACGGGUGAGUAACGCGUAAUCAACCUGCCCUUCAGGGGGGGACAACAGUUGGAAACGACUGCUAAUACCGCAUACUGAGGGCGGGGCUUGCGUCUGAUUAGCUAGUUGGAGGGGUAACGGCCAAACAAGGCGAUGAUCAGUAGCCUGUCUGACAGGAUGACCUGCCACAUUUGGACUGAGACACCGCCCAGACUCCUACGGGAGGCAGCAGUGGGGAAUCUUCCGCAAUGGACGAAAGUCUGACGGAGCAACUCCGCGUGAGUGAUGACGGCCUUCGGGGUGUAAAGCUCUGUGAAGCGUGACGCGGUACCUGAAUAGAAAGCCACGGCUAACUACGUGCCAGCAGCCGCGGUAAUAC